UGCCACUGGCAUGGGUUUCCUGUUACAAGAUACCAGCAUCAGCUAUGACCACGAUUUCACUUGGUAUGACAGGCCUUCUCAAGCAGAGCAUAUCACCAAAGGUCUUGGUCACUACUAAUUGCCUCUGUGACGCCCAAAGUGCAAAGAUCAUACUUCACCAUCUCGUCUGAUGUCUUCCUGGGUCUACCUCUACCACAGGUUUCCUCUACAGUUAAAGAUUACCACCUCUUUACACAGCUGUCUUUGUCCAUAUGCAUCACAUGACCAUACCAACACAGUCAUCUCUCUUGCACACCACAUCUGAUGAUUCU